rnacentral:rRNA from 1 species
UACGUAGGGUGCAAGCGUUGUCCGGAAUCAUUGGGCGUAAAGAGCGUGUAGGCGGCUCGUUAAGUCUGCUGUGAAAGUCCAGGGCUCAACCCUGGGAUGCGGGUGGAUACUGCCGGGCUAGAGUCCGGAAGAGGCGAGUGGAAUUCCUGGUGUAGCGGUGAAAUGCGCAGAUAUCAGGAGGAACACCAAUUGCGAAGGCAGCUCGCUGGGACGUUACUGACGCUGAGACGCGAAAGCGUGGGGAGCAAACAGG